rnacentral:rRNA from 1 species
AAUGGGGAAACCCAGUGUGAUUCGUCACACUAUCAUUAACUGAAUCCAUAGGUUAAUGAGGCGAACCGGGGGAACUGAAACAUCUAAGUACCCCGAGGAAAAGAAAUCAACCGAGAUUCCCCCAGUAGCGGCGAGCGAACGGGGAGCAGCCCAGAGCCUGAAUCAGUGUGUGUGUUAGUGGAAGCGUCUGGAAAGGCGCGCGAUACAGGGUGACAGCCCCGUACACAAAAAUGCACAUGCUGUGAGCUCGAUGAGUAGGGCGGGACACGUGGUAUCCUGUCUGAAUAUGGGGGGACCAUCCUCCAAGGCUAAAUACUCCUGACUGACCGAUAGUGAACCAGUACCGUGAGGGAAAGGCGAAAAGAACCCCGGCGAGGGGAGUGAA